AGCGGAGGAAAAGAAACCAACCGGGAUUGCCUCAGUAACGGCGAGUGAAGCGGCAACAGCUCAAAUUUAAAAUCCGGCCCCGGCGGGGCCUGAGUUGUAAUUUGCAGAGGGUGUUUCGGGGGCGGCGCCGGCCUAAGUUCCUUGGAACAGGACGUCAAAGAGGGUGAGAAUCCCGUCUGGGCGUCGGUGGCCAACCCCGGGUGAACGUCCUUCGACGAGUCGAGUUGUUUGGGAAUGCAGCUCUAAAUGGGUGGUAAAUUUCAUCUAAAGCUAAAUACCGGCCAGAGACCGAUAGCGCACAAGUAGAGUGAUCGAAAGAUGAAAAGCACUUUGAAAAGAGAGUCAAACAGUACGUGAAAUUGUUGAAAGGGAAGCGCUGGCGAUCAGACCUGCCGCCGGGCGAUCAACCGUUAUUCGUUAACGGUGCCACUCGCCCGGUCGCAGGCCAGCAUCGGUUCGGGCGGCGGGACAAAGCGCCCGGGAACGUAGCUUCCUCCGGGGAGCCUUAUAGCCCGGGUGGCCAUGCCGCCCGCCUGGACCGAGGACCGCGCUCCGGCUAGGAUGCUGGCGUAAUGGUCGUCAGCGACCCGUCUUGAAACACGGACCAAGGAGUCUACCAUCCAUGCGAGUGUUUGGGCGUGAAACCCAGGCGCGGAAUGAAAGUGAACGGAGGUGAGACCCCUCGGGUCGCCCCGGGGGCGCAUCAUCGACCGAUCCAGAUGUCUUCGGAUGGAUUUGAGUAAGAGCAUGGCCGGUGGGACCCGAAAGAUGAUGAACUAUGCCUGAAUAGGGUGAAGCCAGAGGAAACUCUGGUGGAGGCUCGCAGCGGUUCUGACGUGCAAAUCGAUCGUCGAAUUUGGGUAUAGGGGCGAAAGACCAAUCGAAUCAU
rnacentral:rRNA from 1 species